UUGCAAACAGGCUGCAAGUGAAAAAUGAUUAGCCGCAUAUGUCUGUGAAUUAUUGGUCAGCUGGAAGGAAGAGACACUGAGUCUACUGGCUCCAACUGAAGAAGAUGAAAGGAACAUGCUGACGAGCCUGGCUAAUCUCUCAGCUGGAGGACUGAUAAACCACCAACCAUGGGAAAAAGAGAGACAUCUUGGGUACCCAGCCCAGUUGAACUUUCAAAUGGCCGCGGUCCCAGCUGACAUUUGCCUGCAAUCUCAAGAGAAACCCCACAUGAGAAAUGCCUGAUGUUGAAGAAGAAAAGAUGAACAGAGAAAUAGUGCCUGAUUUCAAAGAGCUCACAGUCUUGUGGGGUAGACACUCAGGAAAUGCUAUGACCCACUGUGGGAACCAUCAUAAUAUAGGACACGGAAGGUCUGAAGGGCUCGCAGGAGGGCAGGCACCUCAAUCUGAAGGGAACAGCCCUGGAAAAGGGAGGUAAACACCAAGUGGUUGCUAUUUGCUUCUCGCAAGCU